AAAGGAAUUGACGGGGGCCCGCACAAGCAGCGGAGCGUGUGGUUUAAUUCGACGCAACGCGCAGAACCUUACCAGGGCUUGACAUCCCCGGAACCCCUGGGAAACCGGGGGGUGCCCUUCGGGGAGCCGGGAGACAGGUGCUGCAUGGCUGUCGUCAGCUCGUGUCGUGAGAUGUUGGGUUAAGUCCCGCAACGAGCGCAACCCUCGUGGCUAGUUACGGUGGUGUCUAGCCAGACUGCCGGGCACAACCCGGAGGAAGGGGGGGAUGACGUCAAGUCCGCAUGGCCCUGACGCCCUGGGCGACACACACGCUACAAUGGCCGGGACAGCGGGCGGCCAAGCGGUAACGCGGAGCCAAUCCCUCAAACCCGGUCUCAGUUCGGAUUGGGGGCUGCAACUCGCCCCCAUGAAGGCGGAGUUGCUAGUAACCGCAGGUCAGCCAUACUGCGGUGAAUAUGUUCCCGGGCCUUGUACACACCGCCCGU
rnacentral:rRNA from 1 species